rnacentral:rRNA from 1 species
CCUACGGGAGGCAGCAGUGAGGAAUAUUGGUCAAUGGGCGCGAGCCUGAACCAGCCAAGUAGCGUGAAGGAUGACUGCCCUACGGGUUGUAAACUUCUUUUGUAAAGGAAUAAAAUGAGGCACGCGUGCCUUUUUGUAUGUACUUUAUGAAUAAGCAUCGGCUAACUCCGUGCCAGCAGCCGCGGUAAUACGGAGGAUCCGAGCGUUAUCCGGAUUUAUUGGGUUUAAAGGGAGCGUAGGUGGGUUGUUAAGUCAGUUGUGAAAUUUUGCGGCUCAACCGUAAAAGUGCAAUUGAUACUGGCAGUCUUGAGUACAGUUGAGGUAGGCGGAAUGCGUGGUGUAGCGGUGAAAUGCUUAGAUAUCACGAAGAACUCCGAUUGCGAAGGCAGCUUACUAACCUGCAACUGACGCUGAUGCUCGAAAGUGUGGGUAUCGAACAGGAUUAGAUACCCGAGUAGUC